rnacentral:tRNA from 1 species
UGAGGUAUAGCUCAGUGGUACAGCACAUGUUUAGCAUGUGUGUGGUCCUGGGUUCAAUCCCCAGCACUACAA